rnacentral:rRNA from 1 species
UUGGCGGACGGGUGAGUAACGCGUGAGGAACCUGCCUUUCAGUGGGGGACAACAGUUGGAAACGACUGCUAAUACCGCAUAAUGUACGGGUAUCGCAUGGUACUGGUACCAAAGAUUUAUCGCUGAGAGAUGGCCUCGCGUCUGAUUAGCUAGUUGGUAGGGUAACGGCCUACCAAGGCGACGAUCAGUAGCCGGACUGAGAGGUUGGCCGGCCACAUUGGGACUGAGAUACGGCCCAGACUCCUACGGAAGGCAGCAG